GACCGCGUAGCUCAGUUGGAAGAGCAUUGGGCUAGUAUCCAAAGGUCGUAGGUUCGAAUCCUGCCGUGGCCG
rnacentral:tRNA from 1 species